rnacentral:lncRNA from 1 species
UUGAAGCUUCAAUUCACCUAGAGCUAAACCACUGCACUCUUGUUUUCGAGCUACAUUUCUCUGCAAACUCUCUCACCCUCACCAAAGCUCUCAUUCUCUCUCUCAAAAAAGGCCAUUGAAGCUUCACAUUGAAGCUUCAAUUCACCUAGAGCUAAACCACUGCACUCUUGUUUUCGAGCUUUAGAAGAAGAAGGAGAUAAAGAAAGCAAGAAGAAGGAAGAAUUGAAAGCAGGAAACUCACCGGCAAAAUUCUCCGAUCAUCUUCCGGGAUGUCGUUUACCGUUUAUUUUCGCUUUCUUGUUCUGAGCACAUCGUUGCCUAGCAUUUAGGUAGAGGAUCAAAAACCAUAUUGCAUUAGGUGUUAAUUUGCAGAGAGGAGUGUUUAAUUGAUCGGUGAAUAGGUUAGGUUUCUCUGUGACUGAGAGCGAUUCCACGGAUUUCUUCGCCUAUAGGUUGAUUCUAUUGCUAUGAGUGUAAUUACAGCUUACAGCUCGUUAGGUUUUGAUUUAGUGGUGUUGAUGAGGGUGGAGCUGGUACCGGCGCCGGCGAUGGCCGCCGGUACGUUGAACAGAAGAGAGAAUGAAGGAGAUACGCGCGCUGCACCUGAGUUUGCUUAUUGGACUCAAAAUUGGCAAAGUCCAAGGCAUUUAGCUAUUCGCAC